GUACUUUUCUCAUCUUCUCUUCUCCUCUCGCCGACAGGUUUUUACUUUUCUUACUUCAACCCAUUUUCAACAAAUCGAAGAAGAAGAACUGUUGGAGAAGAACACGAUGGUCUCCCAUUGAGGAAACCCCGCCUCUGUCGCUGUUGUGAAGGAAGCACUGUGACUCAUCUCUACUCUGUGACGUCUCCCUCCUUCACGGCAAGCACUCAUCUCAAAUGUUUGCUCUUGCUGAAAUCAAUUUGUGGUUUGGUUGAUGACAGAGGAAGCUAGUGCCCUCGUCUUCUCCUCUCUGCUCCUCCAACAAGACGAAAGAGAAAGAAGCAAACAAGAAGAGACAUCACCGUAACUUGCUCAGAUCAGAUUGGCCAGAGAGGAUGAAGAAGAAUACGCCGUGUAGGUGGUUGAGGUGGUGAAGGAAGAUGAAGAAGC